GUGCCAGCCGCCGCGGUAAUACGUAGGUGGCAAGCGUUGUCCGGAUUUAUUGGGCGUAAAGCGAGCGCAGGCGGUUUUUUAAGUCUGAUGUGAAAGCCUUCGGCUCAACCGAAGAAGUGCAUCGGAAACUGGGAAACUUGAGUGCAGAAGAGGACAGUGGAACUCCAUGUGUAGCGGUGAAAUGCGUAGAUAUAUGGAAGAACACCAGUGGCGAAGGCGGCUGUCUGGUCUGUAACUGACGCUGAGGCUCGAAAGUAUGGGUAGCAAACAGGAUUAGAUACCCUGGUAGUCCAUACCGUAAACGAUGAAUGCUAAGUGUUGGAGGGUUUCCGCCCUUCAGUGCUGCAGCUAACGCAUUAAGCAUUCCGCCUGGGGAGUACGGCCGCAAGGCUGAAACUCAAAGGAAUUGACGGGGGCCCGCACAAGCGGUGGAGCAUGUGGUUUAAUUCGAAGCUACGCGAAGAGCCUUACCAGGUCUUGACAUACUAUGCAAAUCUAAGAGAUUAGACGUUCCCUUCGGGGACAUGGAUACAGGUGGUGCAUGGUUGUCGUCAGCUCGUGUCGUGAGAUGUUGGGUUAAGUCCCGCAACGAGCGCAACCCUUAUUAUCAGUUGCCAGCAUUAAGUUGGGCACUCUGGUGAGACUGCCGGUGACAAACCGGAGGAAGGUGGGGAUGACGUCAAAUCAUCAUGCCCCUUAUGACCUGGGCUACACACGUGCUACAAUGGAUGGUACAACGAGUUGCGAACUCGCGAGAGUAAGCUAAUCUCUUAAAGCCAUUCUCAGUUCGGAUUGUAGGCUGCAACUCGCCUACAUGAAGUCGGAAUCGCUAGUAAUCGCGGAUCAGCAUGCCGCGGUGAAUACGUUCCCGGGCCUUGUACACACCGCCCGU
rnacentral:rRNA from 1 species